rnacentral:miRNA from 1 species
UAUUCUACUGGGCAUAUAUAUCAUUACAUAUAUGGUCUUUGUAUGUAUGAUCAGAUCAUUAUAUGUAUGAUCUGGACACCCAGUAGAAUC